rnacentral:rRNA from 1 species
UGGGGAAUUUUGGACAAUGGGGGAAACCCUGAUCCAGCCAUCCCGCGUGUGCGAUGAAGGCCUUCGGGUUGUAAAGCACUUUUGGCAGGAAAGAAACGUCAUGGGUUAAUACCCCGUGAAACUGACGGUACCUGCAGAAUAAGCACCGGCUAACUACGUGCCAGCAGCCGCGGUAAUACGUAGGGUGCAAGCGUUAAUCGGAAUUACUGGGCGUAAAGCGUGCGCAGGCGGUUCGGAAAGAAAGAUGUGAAAUCCCAGGGCUCAACUUUGGAACUGCAUUUUUAACUGCCGGGCUAGAGUGUGUCAGAGGGAGGUGGAAUUCCGCGUGUAGCAGUGAAAUGCGUAGAUAUGCGGAGGAACACCGAUGGCGAAGGCGGCCUCCUGGGAUAACACUGACGCUCAUGCACGAAAGCGUGGGGAGCAAACAGG